rnacentral:rRNA from 1 species
UACGUAGGGUGCAAGCGUUAAUCGGAAUUACUGGGCGUAAAGCGUGCGCAGGCGGUUUUGUAAGUCUGUCGUGAAAGCCCCGGGCUCAACCUGGGAAUUGCGAUGGAGACUGCAAGGCUUGAAUCUGGCAGAGGGGGGUAGAAUUCCACGUGUAGCAGUGAAAUGCGUAGAGAUGUGGAGGAACACCGAUGGCGAAGGCAGCCCCCUGGGUCAAGAUUGACGCUCAUGCACGACAGCGUGGGGAGCAAACAGG